ACGGAAGGCAGCAGUGGGGAAUAUUGGGCAAUGGGCGAAAGCCUGACCCAGCGACGCCGCGUGAGGGAAGACGGUCUUCGGAUUGUAAACCUCUUUCAGCAGGGAAGAAGGCAGUGACGGUACCUGCAGAAGAAGUCACGGCUAGCUACGUGCCAGCAGCCGCGGUAAUACGUAGGUGGCGAGCGUUAUCCGGAAUUACUGGGUGUAAAGGGUGUGUAGGCGGAGGAGCAAGUCAGGUGUGAAAAUUGUGGGCUCAACCCACAAACUGCACUUGAAACUGUUCCCCUUGAGAGUGGGAGAGGUAAACGGAAUUCCUGGUGUAGUAGUGAAAUGCGUAGAUAUCAGGAGGAACACCGGUGGCGAAGGCGGUUUACUGGACCACAACUGACGCUGAGACACGAAAGCGUGGGGAGCAAACAGGAUUAGAUACCCUGGUA
rnacentral:rRNA from 1 species